rnacentral:rRNA from 1 species
AAUUCGCCCUUUAGUUGAUCAUGGCUCAGGACGAACGCUGGCGGCGCGCUUAACACAUGCAAGUCGAGCGAGAACCAGUCCUUCGGGGCUGGGGACAGCGGCGAACGGGUGAGUAACACGUGAGUAAUCCACCCCCGACACUGGGAUAGCCCGGGGAAACCCGGAUUAAUACCGGAUAGCCACUUCGGUUUUCGGACCGAAAUGAAAAGGUAGCUUCGGCCUCCGGUUGGGGACGAGCUCGCGGCGGAUUAGCUUGUUGGUGGGGUAAAGGCCCACCAAGGCGACGAUCCGUAGCUGGUCUGAGAGGACGAUCAGCCACACUGGGACUGAGACACGGCCCAGACUCCUACGGGAGGCAGCAGUGGGGAAUCUUGUGCAAUGGGCGAAAGCCUGACACAGCGACGCCGCGUGAGGGAAGAAGGCCUUCGGGUUGUAAACCUCUUUCAGGAGGGACGAAGCUACUCGGGUUAAUAGCCCAGAGGGUGACGGUACCUCCAGAAGAAGCCCCGGCUAACUACGUGCCAGCAGCCGCGGUAAUACGUAGGGGGCAAGCGUUGUCCGGAUUUAUUGGGCGUAAAGAGCGUGUAGGCGGCCAGAUAGGUCAGCUGUGAAAACUCGAGGCUCAACCUCGAGACGUCGGUUGAAACCAUCUGGCUAGAGUCCGGAAGAGGAGAGUGGAAUUCCCGGUGUAGCGGUGAAAUGCGCAGAUAUCGGGAAGAACACCCGUGGCGAAGGCGGCUCUCUGGGACGGUACUGACGCUGAGACGCGAAAGCGUGGGGAGCGAACAGGAUUAGAUACCCUGGUAGUCCACGCCGUAAACGAUGGGUGCUAGGUGUGGGGGGUGUCGACUCCCCCCGUGCCGAAGCUAACGCAUUAAGC